rnacentral:snRNA from 1 species
GUGCUCGCUCUGACAGCACAUAUAUUAAAAUUGGGACCAUACAGAGAAGAUUAGAUGUCCCCUGUGCAAGGAUGACACAAAAAUUUAUGAAGCAGGGGCUGGAGAG